AAAUAUUGAAAAUUUUGACACAUAUGAUUUUGGAAUCACUUUGGAAGACUCAAAUUGCCACAUGCAUAACUAGUUUAUAAGAGACACAUGAAAAUGAUUAUUUUUCAUGAUUUGCUAGCCAAUAACAGGCAAACACAUAAAUGUAAGCAUGGAAUAUUAAAAUAUAUAGAAUACAUGUGAAGAUAUUUAGAAUGAUGCGAUUAUAAACAUAUUAAAUGAAACACACAAUGAUUAUCGCUUUGAAAAUUUUGAAAAUGAACACUCAUAACAUGUAUCAC
rnacentral:lncRNA from 1 species